rnacentral:misc_RNA from 1 species
GUGAAUAUCUGUCAGUGAAAGUCCCGUCAAAAUUGGUCCAGCUCUUUCAGAAAUUAGCCGGAAUAUACAGACAGACAGACAGACUAAAAUUGUAAAAAAUGUUAUUUUGGUAUAUAUACCGAGUAUACAUUCCAUAUCGUGUAUUUAGUAAAAUGCGGUUAUUUUAAUAUUACAAACAGACACUCCAAUUUUAUUUAUUUGUACAGAUUACAAAUUACAAGUUACUUUACAAUUUAACAUAUGUUAAACUACAAUAUGUCUUAAUAAUGUUAUACUCGUAUGCAAUAUAAACAAUAAACAAUAAAUGUAAUAGCAUAGGUAGCAUAUAUGUACUUGUUAAUAUAGGAUUUGCUAUACAUUA